UUGGAAAUUAUUCCCCAUUUUAAGCCGAAGGCCUAAGUGAAAGCGUAUGAAUGAUGUAUGGAAAUGUCUAUUACAUGAUGCGGCGUGUGAAUCCCAAAACCGAACUGAACUCGAGCCUGUUCCGAGUGGAGUGAUCGCGCGAUAGAAAGUGAGAAACUCUAGUCGUCACGCCCUUUUUUUUUUUCUCUUUUCAAGAAUUUGGAGGCCACAUCGUCUCGAGAGAAUAGUAUUAAACAUUUUAUUU